UUUUGUUGAAGUACAGGUGAUUUACAGUGCGGGGGUCUACACCGUACGACACAGGGACCCGGGGAUCCCUGUGCAGGUGAUUUACAGUGUGGGGGUCUACACCGUACGACACAGGGACCCGGGGAUCCCUGUGCAGGUGAUUUACAGUGUGGGGGUCUACACCGUACGACACAGGGACCCGGGGAUCCCUGUGCAGGUGAUUUACAGUGUGGGGGUCUACACCGUACGACACAGGGACCCGGGGAUCCCUGUGCAGGUGAUUUACAGUGUGGGGGUCUACACCGUACGACACAGGGACCCGGGGAUCCCUGCGCAGGUGAUUUACAGUGCGGGGGUCUACACCGUAGGACACAGGGACCCGGGGAUCCCUGUGCAGAUUUUUUUUCCCCUUUUACAACGGCACCUGUGGCGUGUGGACGUUCCCACGUUAGGGGUGGCAUCAGAGCUGCAGCUGCCGGCCUACACCACCGCCAGGGCAAUACCAGAUCUGAGCUGCAUCUGUGACAGAGCUUGUGGUGAUGCUGGAUCCUUAACCCACUGAGCAAGGCCAGGGACUGAAUCUGAAUCCUCAAGAAGACUACACUGGGUUCUUAACCUGCUGAGCCACAACGGGAACUCCCCUUUCAGAGUCUUUUCCCACACAGAUUAUCAGAGAAUAUUGGGUGAGGUCUCAUUCUACGCCUCCCCCCCUCCGUGUAAAGCAGCAGCAUUGGGCCCUGAGCCCCAGGAGCCACGGGAGGAAAAUGAAACCUCAUCGUGGGAUGUGACGCCCACCACGUGGGCGACAGUGUCCCUUCCAGGGUGAAGAACCACGGGAGCAAUGAGCAAGGCUGGAGGCCAGGCCAGGUGUCCUCACGCUGGGUAAAUACGCUGGGUGACAACUGUUUGUCACAGCGAAAGAGGAAAACAUUAGGGAACCUUUCAGUGGACACCAGGAGAGACAAAUAAUUUCAACAACAGUGUGACAAUAAUUCAACGAUAAAAUAGUUUCAACACUAAAAACCUACGUUCACCCAAUGAUGGCAGAGUGAGGCUCAGAGACAUUGCCCCUCAUUUCCGUAACCAGAGGCAAAGCUCUGGGGCCGACGGAAGGCCCUGAGUCCCCGGCAAAGGACCCGAAGGACAGGACCCACCCAGAGCCACGUCCUUUCUGAGAGAGGCGUGCAGAAGGGAGUCGGAGGGAGAAGCGGGGAGCAAAUCUUGAUGUCCGAGCAGAUUUCGUCCCUAAAGGGCGUGGGGACAUGCAGGUUUUGAGGCAAGAAGUCACACAAUACAUAUGAGACAUCGUGUGACAGAGCACGGGGCUGGGAGGCAGUUUGGCCAAAGGGGAGCCGGAGUAAGGGCUGUUCUCAGCCAGGGCUGCUUUCUGACUUGAGUCUAAUUUGUGGCAGGCGGGGAGCAGCAAAGAAGGUUGCCCCGGAUCCACUGCAGGUGUCAGGCGGAGGGUCUGCCCUGCCAAGAGCCCACGGAGAUGCUCGCUAAUCCUCCAACAGCCAUGGUACACGGGUGACGGAGGCCAGGCCGCAUCCCAGCGCCCCCCAGGCAGCGUGAGCCCCGCUCUGCCAGCUCCAGCCAGGAGGACAGCAGGGGCAGGUCCACAUCCCUGGGGCAGAGACGACUGAGAAAUGAGGGGCUGAAGCCUUUCAGACAAACAGGCCAAACUGCUUCACAAAAGCAUCGACCGUCCGAGGACGCACCUCGAAACCCAGGCAGGCUCGUCAGGGGCUCUGGGAGCGGAAGAGGCUAGAACAGCAAAGAAACACAGAAACACAGCAGAGUGGGGGCUGCCCGGCUUCCCCACGUGUUUGGGGGGCAGCUCUGGCUUUUGCAGGCUGGUCAAUCAUGACCGCCUGCGCCUCAGGGGGUUUGCUGGGCAGGUAAAUUCUGUCAACCCAAGGCCCUGACCCUCCCUGUCCCCGAUACCAGAGCGCAAAGUCGCGGCUGGAACUCGCCCUUGGGGGCUGGAGUGGACAGACGCAAGCCAACCGCAGACACCCUUGGCCGUGGACCCGCAGCGCGUUCUUGGAGCAGAGGCUGCGUCCGAGUCGGAGCCGGUGAGGAGCUCAGCUGACUUCACUCUGCUCCGGGUCUGCCCGUGUGGGGACAGGUGCCAGCAAGGGCUGCCCGGGCGGUCGGACAAAGACGAGCGCGCUGGGAACACGCCUCGCGGCCCCAGUGCCACGUCGCCGGCAUUGAACUGAUCACUCAAUCCCCCGGCACAAAGAUGUCCAAGCCCCCUGACAAGCAUCCAGCACCCACGUCCUUCCAGGAUGAUGCUUCUCUAGGAAAGGCCCUCCCAUCUAGAGACCCAGCUGCCCUCAGUCCUCACCCCACUGAGGCGUGACGCUACAGCCACCUCACCACCAAAGGCCUGUCAUGGCACCUCCACGGGGACCACGGAGUCACCGGCUGAGUCU
rnacentral:lncRNA from 1 species